rnacentral:lncRNA from 1 species
AUGCACAUGGGCCGUGUCGCUGCAGCGUGUGCGUGUGCACAUGCCCGGCCUCGCUGCAGUGUGUGCGCACGCACACGUGCAGCGCCGGGGAGAGAUGGGUUCACGUGCACUGCCCUGCUGCAGGGGGUGCGUGUGUGCAUGCACAAGUGCAGCGUGGCUGCCAGGUGGCUGUGUGUGCACGCACAAGCACAGCGUCACUGCAAGGUGUCUGUGUGCGUGCACAAGCACAGCGUCACUGCAAAGUGUUUGUGCGCACACAAGCACAGCAUGGCUGUCAGGUGUUUGUGCGUGCAUGUACAAGUACAACAUUGCUGCAAGGUGUCUGUGUGUGCAUGCACAAGCACAGCGUCACUGCAAGGUAUUUGCAUGCACGCACAAGUACAACAUCGCUGCAAGGUGUCUGUGUGUGCACGCACAAGCACAGCGUCACUGCAAGGUGCCUGUGAGUGCACAAGUACAGCGUGGCUGCCAAGUGUUUGUGCACGCAUGAGUACAGCACGGCUGUCAGGUGGUUGUGUGUGCAUGCACGAGCACAGCGUCACUGCAAGCUGUUUGCAUGCACGCACACGCACAGCAUCACUGCAAGAUGUGUGUGUGUGCGUCACAAGCACAGCACUGCUGCAAGGUGUACGUGUGUGCAUGCACAAGCACAGCAUCACCUCAAGGUGUGUGUGUGUGUGUGUGCACAAGCACGACAUUACUGCCAGGUGUGUGUGUGUGCAUGCACAAGCACAACAUCGCCGCCCGGUGUUUCGGGGUGCGUGCUUGCAUGCACAAGCACGGCCUCACUGCCGCGUGCAUCUCUGUGCGCACACAAGCACGGCGUCGCUGCAAGGUGUGUGUGUGCAUGCACAAGCACGGCGUCACUGCAGCGUGUGUGCACAGCCCCGUUGCGGUGUUGCACGCACACACACACACACACACACACACACACGCAGUGUGCGGUGCACCGACGGGGUGCUUCUGCCACGACCCGCGGCCCCUGAGACGCCCAAGGUGACCCCACGGGGGGGCCAUGCAGGGGGGGGGGGCACCCGCUGCCGGCUCCCCCUGAACCUUGGGGCGUCCCCUGGCCCCGAGCCCCCUGUGCCCGGCUUGGGGGGGCUGGCAGGGAGAAGCGUAGCUAUCGAGCCAGCAGGCCAAAACCCACCAAAUUCACCCCAAAACGCCUCGCAGGACAACUCUAACGGCACCCAGCUGGGCUGGGGGCUCAGAGCAGGGGGAAAACCACCCAGCAUGAGACUUCAUGUUUUUAGCACCGCUCCCAAACACGGCAUUUUAAAUCCCGAGCCACGAGCGGUGACACCGGGGCACGCGGCUUUACCGGCUGCUGCGCUGGCGUGCCGCUCCCCGGGGGCCCCAAAGGCCACCCCAUCCCCGCGGCUUUGGGGCGCGAGGUGGAGUUUGGGUUGA